UGGGGAAUAUUGGACAAUGGGGGGAACCCUGAUCCAGCGAUGCCGCGUGUGCGAAGAAGGCCUGCGGGUUGUAAAGCACUUUGGUUGGGGAAGAAGGUUGGAGGUUGAAUAGGCCUCUGAAUUGACGUUACCCAAAGAACAAGCACCGGCUAACUCUGUGCCAGCAGCCGCGGUAAUACAGAGGGUGCGAGCGUUAAUCGGAAUUACUGGGCGUAAAGGGUGCGUAGGCGGUUAUUUAAGUUAGAUGUGAAAUCCCUGGGCUUAACCUGGGAAUUGCAUUUAAGACUGGAUGGCUAGAGUAGAGUAGAGGGAAGUGGAAUUUCCGGUGUAGCGGUGAAAUGCGUAGAUAUCGGAAAGAACAUCAGUGGCGAAGGCGGCUUCCUGGACUCAUACUGACGCU
rnacentral:rRNA from 1 species